rnacentral:rRNA from 1 species
UACGAAUGGAGCGAGCGUUGUUCGGAAUCACUGGGCGUAAAGCGUACGCAGGCGGUCAUGAAAGUCAGAAGUGAAAUCCCCGGGCUUAACCCGGGAAUGGCUUUUGAAACUCCAUGACUAGAGUAUUGGAGAGGUUGGCGGAAUUCCGAGUGUAGAGGUGAAAUUCGCAGAUAUUCGGAGGAACACCAAUGGCGUAGGCAGCCAACUGGACAAUAACUGACGCUCAUGUACGAAAGCGUGGGGAUCAAACAGG